CGGCAGGCUAGAGGGCUGGAAUAGGAGAGCGGUUGUGUCGUGUCGGUGCAGAAGAGAGAGAGGAGCAAAGAAGUUCGACUAAAGAGGAGGUAGUGCGUGGCACAGAGGUUGAAACUACACCGAGACGGCCGACGGUGAAGGAAAGAGUUGGUGCCGCUAGGCGGUGGUAGAGGGAAGCGUGGUCGUCGCUCGGAAGACGUGGGGUGCGCUAGGUAGCGGUGGUGACAAAGAGCGGGGUCCCGCGGGGCCGGAGUGAGGUUGGAAGGGUGAGGGGUGAGAGGUGGAAGCGGCCUGGGGAGGAGCGGCUGAAUGGGGUGUACCGCUCCGCACGGCACUAUGGCAGCGGGCUCGAGGCUGCUGUUGUAGGGACAGGAGGAACUAGAGUACAAGAGUUGGGGGUUACGCGUCCUUCCUUCACCAGCCGACAAACCCACAGCAGCAAGGAACGGUUCACGGGCCGUGCGUAGAUCACAGGGGGAGGUUGGUUCGAGGUGAGGCGGCAUCAACCCCGAAUCUUACGGGAAACAGCUGGCCCUCCUCAGUAUCGUCGAACGAGACGUUGACGUGACAGUUCAGUCGUUCGGUAAAAGUACACCAUCGAACCGCAACCAUGGUGAUAGUUGGUCUACUUAUUGUUGCUCCAUGCAUGAUGAUGAAGGCAGGCCCAAAUAACGCAUCAUGGGGUACGUAAUUGACGCAACUAGUAACGUAAUACUGGGAGAUCCUUCUAACACACCGGGUUGAAAAGCGGAUGGUGGAGAAAAGGACAAAUCUUCGAGUCGCACAUGGGUGAUCCAGGCGUUUAAUUGUUUGAGUUGUACUAAAAAUAUAGUGUUUUUUUAACUGACAAGAUUUAGCUUGCACUCUAAGAAAAACGUACCUUUAAUUUGCGGGCUCUACCGUUUAAAACAACAAGGGUAUUUUGGCAAGCAAAAUGGUACGAAUUUUUAAACUGUAGUUUGAAAAUCAUAAAGGCAAAAAUAUUAUACAUAAAGUAACCAAUGUAUCUGGUGAAUCUAUAUUCACGCCCCGGACAUUUGGUCUUACCUCUCUCAUCAAAAAUCAAUCCGAUCGAAACGCUAAGUAACCAAACGAAGUAACUGUCUCACUUAGCCUUCUUCGAUUCCAACGAACGAACCAACGGUACGUUGAACCACUAACGGUACAACUUACUAUCAACGUACACGUUUACUCCGUAGGGAGUUCAAACAACGUAACCUUUAGGUUAAUUGUUACCCCUGGAACAACGCUGAUAACUUACUUACCCUCUAGGUUGACGAACACGAAGAGUCAAAGUACGAUGUUUAUAAGGAGAAAAAAUGACCGUCGGAAGCUGCUGCACCGCGAUUCAAAGAAUCACCGUAGUAAACCUAUCGAAUAAAUCACCGUCUGUACCAUCGUCAAAUGUGGGAACCAAAUGAGAGUUUUGUUCGCCUUUUGUGGUGGGUUGACUGUCUUUUGGUGGGUGAUCGAAAGAAAACCCGUGGGAAGGAUGACGAAGUAGAACCGCCUGUCCUGUGGUAGUGACGAAAAAGGAACCUCCUGUUGUCAAACACCAACUCCGUAAACAAUUUAAACUAUCAGGUUCACCAGGAUCGGAACAUACAGAAGACCUUCAGAUGACGAACCGCUUUACACGUCUAAGAACAAGGCCCGUAGAAAUACAAACAACGACCUUAGUAAUUCAUACCCCUCUCCUGCUAGCGAGAGUACAUGCCCUUGAAUGUUUUGUAGUCACCGAUGUUAUCAUUACUUCUUCUUUUAUCCAACUGAGUAGGUCUUGAUCUCCUCCUACGAUCGAUGAGAUCGUAAUAAUCAAAAAGGAACCUAAGUCGAGGUUAUCAAGCUGUGAAUAAACGACCUAAAUGUGAGAAGGUCUAUGGUCUUCCGAAGGCGCGUUGUUGAACCUGCUCUCGAUACGAGCUAGUGUAGUUCAGGUUGUCCGGUUCAACCGGUUCAACCAAGUACAACUUGAUCCAUAGUACAUAACACUACAGAUAUGUUUCCGACGUCACGAAGCCUGUUCCUCGCCGUAGUAUGAAGCCACGUGGAGAGUUCAUAGUCGAAAGGAACGGGAACACAAGAAGAAGUGUCAACCGUUGUUUGUCUCCAUGUUAUCUCAGCUGUAACGUUAGUGUAUGUACAAUAAAUACCCUACGAAAAAAGACCUUCAAACACGUUACAAAUACUACCAGUAACAUAGUGGAACCUGCACCCGAACCGAAUUCCGAUUCUUCACCCAAGCCGAGUGAGCGAACAGGACCUGCGAAAAGAGGCCAUUAUGAUAACCUACCGGUCUCCUCUUCUACAACACCAGUUUGUUGUACCCGGUCAUGUUAAAAGACUAGAUACACCCGACGCUCCUUUUCGGUUCAUGAGGCAGGUACAGCCUUGCUCACUACUGGUCCUAGUCCUUCUAGUGUUUUCGUCAACCACGACCUCUCCUGUUCAACAAAACCAAUUCGUUCAGUAAUCUAUGCUUCAUGCUCCUCCACCUACGCCUAUAGUGUCUAUCAAAAGACUUCCUGUAACUUCAGUAAGAGGUUAGGGGAAAGCCUCCUCCUGGCUCAUCCGACACCGUUGUAGAAUCACACUUAUUGUACCGUGCCCUUAAAAGAUCUCUAAAAUCACGUCAGUACUAGUUAAACGUAUAUAGUUGUUAUUAUGUGGAGUCACUCCAAAGUUCACACCUACACCUUUAUCAACGGAACCAACCACAGACGGCCUUUGAUAGGUUAAUAUACUACAUAGAGGAACGAUGUGUGGGACAAUACAACGUCCAGUGACGUUGGUCACGGUUUAGUCAUGAUGUUCCGAAAGCAUUCUUCAAAUACUACUACUACUGACCGUCGUAGUCGUUCGGACACCAAGAUGUUUUAGAGUUUCUCAACUAUAGCUUCCUCCUAAGGUCCAACAGAAACGGGCUUGGUACGUUUCUUUGUGACCUCCUCUACUCUCUAUACACCCACUCCUAAUAGUAUAUACGGCGACCGUCCAGCGCCGGUCUCUGCGUACGCUGUGUCGACCGGUCUCCUGCCCUUAAGGAAUGGAAGUAGACCGACGAGAACCGUGUGUUUUUAGAACCCAGAAGGUGCAGGAAAGGUUAGCUUGAAUAAUCGGGUGGAGGUUUAAAACCCGGAAUGUCACUACAUGCUUCAAUACGGAAACUAAAAGCGGUUUUAACU
rnacentral:rRNA from 1 species